rnacentral:rRNA from 1 species
CACAGUGGGGAAUUUUGGACAAUGGGGGCAACCCUGAUCCAGCCAUGCCGCGUGAGUGAAGAAGGCCUUCGGGUUGUAAAGCUCUUUCGGCGGGGAAGAAAUGGCAACGGCUAAUAUCCGUUGUUGAUGACGGUACCCGCAUAAGAAGCACCGGCUAACUACGUGCCAGCAGCCGCGGUAAUACGUAGGGUGCGAGCGUUAAUCGGAAUUACUGGGCGUAAAGCGUGCGCAGGCGGUUUCGUAAGACAGACGUGAAAUCCCCGGGCUCAACCUGGGAACUGCGUUUGUGACUGCGAAGCUAGAGUACGGCAGAGGGGGGUAGAAUUCCACGUGUAGCAGUGAAAUGCGUAGAGAUGUGGAGGAAUACCGAUGGCGAAGGCAGCCCCCUGGGCUAGUACUGACGCUCAUGCACGAAAGCGUGGGGAGCAAACAGGAUUAGAUACCCUGGUAGUCCACGCCCUAAACGAUGUCAACUAGGUGUUGGAAGGUUAACCUUUUAGUACCGCAGCUAACGCGUGAAGUUGACCGCCUGGGGAGUACGGCCGCAAGGUUAAAACUCAAG